rnacentral:rRNA from 1 species
GACGAACGCUGGCGGCGUGCUUAACACAUGCAAGUCGUACGGUAAGGCCCUUUCGGGGGUACACGAGUGGCGAACGGGUGAGUAACACGUGAGUAACCUGCCCACAACUUUGGGAUAACGCUAGGAAACUGGUGCUAAUACUGGAUAUGUGCCCCUGCUGCAUGGUGGGGGUUGGAAAGCUCCGGCGGUUGUGGAUGGACUCGCGGCCUAUCAGCUUGUUGGUGGGGUAGUGGCCUACCAAGGCGGCGACGGGUAGCCGGCCUGAGAGGGUGACCGGCCACAUUGGGACUGGGAUACGGCCCAGACUCCUACGGGAGGCAGCAGGGGGGAAUAUUGCACAAUGGGCGCAAGCCUGAUGCAGCAACGCCGCGUGCGGGAUGACGGCCUUCGGGUUGUAAACCGCUUUCAGCAGGGACGAAGCUUUUUGUGACGGUACCUGCAGAAGAAGCACCGGCUAACUACGUG